rfam:Haloferax mediterranei ATCC 33500, complete genome.
AGUCCCGUGGUGUAGUGGCCAAUCAUAGCGGCCUUUGGAUUGGUACGGUUCGAUGCGUACCGAGAAGACAGCCGCUGACGGCGGUUCGAAUCCGCCCGGGACUA